rnacentral:rRNA from 1 species
AUUGAACGCUGGCGGCAGGCUUAACACAUGCAAGUCGAGCGGUAGCACAGGGGAGCUUGCUCCCUGGGUGACGAGCGGCGGACGGGUGAGUAAUGUCUGGGAAACUGCCUGAUGGAGGGGGAUAACUACUGGAAACGGUAGCUAAUACCGCAUAACGUCGCAAGACCAAAGAGGGGGACCUUCGGGCCUCUUGCCAUCAGAUGUGCCCAGAUGGGAUUAGCUAGUAGGUGGGGUAAUGGCUCACCUAGGCGACGAUCCCUAGCUGGUCUGAGAGGAUGACCAGCCACACUAGAACUGAGACACGGUCCAGACUCCUACGGGAGGCAGCAGUGGGGAAUAUUGCACAAUGGGCGCAAGCCUGAUGCAGCCAUGCCGCGUGUGUGAAGAAGGCCUUCGGGUUGUAAAGCACUUUCAGCGAGGAGGAAGGUGGUGAACUUAAUACGUUCAUCAAUUGACGUUACUCGCAGAAGAAGCACCGGCUAACUCCGUG